AUUGAACGCUGGCGGCAGGCCUAACACAUGCAAGUCGAGCGAGCGGCGGACGGGUGAGUAAUGUCUGGGAAACUGCCUGAUGUAGGGGGAUAACUACUGGAAACGGUAGCUAAUAUCGCAUACCAUCAGAUGUGCCCAGAUGGGAUUAGCUCGUGGGUGGGGUAAUGGCUCACCUAGGCGACGAUCCCUAGCUGGUCUGAGAGGAUGACCAGCCACACUGGAACUUGGACAUGGUCCGGACUCCUACGGGAGGCAGCAGUGGGGAAUAUUGCACAAUGGGGGAAAGCCUGAUGCAGCCAUGCCGCGUGUGGGAGGAAGGCCUUGGGGUUGUAAAGUACUUUGAGCGGGGAGGCGGUACCCGCAGAAGAAGCACCGGCUAACUCCGUGCCAGCAGCCGCGGUAAUAC
rnacentral:rRNA from 1 species